GGGGAUGUAACUCAGAGGUAGAGUGCUCGCUUCGCAUGCGAGUGGUCCGGAGUUCGACUCUCCGCAUCUCCA